UACAGAGGGUGCGAGCGUUGUCCGGAAUCACUGGGCGUAAAGGGCGUGUAGGCGGCUGGGUAAGCCGCGUGUGAAAUCCCGGGGCUCAACCCCGGAACGGCACGCGGGACUGUCCGGCUCGAGCAUGGUAGAGGCGAGUGGAAUUCCGGGUGUAGCGGUGGAAUGCGUAGAGAUCCGGAGGAAGACCGGUGGCGAAGGCGGCCUGCUGGGCAGUUUCUGACACUGAUGCGCGACAGCGUGGGGAGCAAACAGG
rnacentral:rRNA from 1 species